GUGUCAGCAGCCGCGGUAAUACGAAGGGGGCUAGCGUUGUUCGGAAUUACUGGGCGUAAAGCGCGCGCAGGCGGCUUGGUAAGUUGAGGGUGAAAGCCCAGAGCUCAACUCUGGAACUGCCUUCAAAACUAUCAAGCUUGAGUACGAGAGAGGUGAGUGGAAUUCCCAGUGUAGAGGUGAAAUUCGUAGAUAUUGGGAAGAACACCGGUGGCGAAGGCGGCUCACUGGCUCGUUACUGACGCUCAGGCGCGACAGCGUGGGGAUCAAACAGGAUUAGAAACCCUCGUAGUCC
rnacentral:rRNA from 1 species